CCUCUGGAGUGUUAAUUGAGCUGGCUGUGCGUCCUGGAAGUGGUAUUUUCCCUUUCAUUAUGCUCCGUUUGCCUCCGACUUCAAAGACAUCAAGGGCAUGUUCAACGAUUUCGAGAAAGGGACCAAACCGUUCAAACCUCUGGAGCAGCUCAUGGGUGUGUUUCCUGCUGCCAGUGGAAACUUUCUGCCACAAAUAUGGAGAGCCCUGAUGACCGA